UACGAAGGGGGCUAGCGUUGCUCGGAAUCACUGGGCGUAAAGCGCACGUAGGCGGAUUGCUAAGUCAGGGGUGAGAUCCUGGAGCUCAACUCCAGAACUGCCUUUGAUACUGGCGGUCUCGAGUCCGGGAGAGGUGAGUGGAACUGCGAGUGUAGAGGUGAAAUUCGUAGAUAUUCGCAAGAACACCAGUGGCGAAGGCGGCUCACUGGCCCGGUACUGACGCUGAGGUGCGAAAGCGUGGGGAGCAAACAGG
rnacentral:rRNA from 1 species